rnacentral:rRNA from 1 species
AGAGUUUGAUCAUGGCUCAGAUUGAACGCUGGCGGCAUGCCUUUACACAUGCAAGUCGAACGGCAGCGGGGACUUCGGUCCGCCGGCGAGUGGCGAACGGGUGAGUAAUGUAUCGGAACGUACCUUUCAGUGGGGGAUAACGUAGCGAAAGUUACGCUAAUACCGCAUAUUCUGUGAGCAGGAAAGCAGGGGAUCGCAAGACCUUGCGCUGAUUGAGCGGCCGAUAUCAGAUUAGCUAGUUGGUGAGGUAAAGGCUCACCAAGGCUACGAUCUGUAGCGGGUCUGAGAGGAUGAUCCGCCACACUGGGACUGAGACACGGCCCAGACUCCUACGGGAGGCAGCAGUGGGGAAUUUUGGACAAUGGGCGAAAGCCUGAUCCAGCCAUGCCGCGUGAGUGAAGAAGGCCUUCGGGUUGUAAAGCUCUUUCGGCCGGGAAGAAAUCGCAUCAGCUAAUACCUGGUGUGGAUGACGGUACCGGACUAAGAAGCACCGGCUAACUACGUGCCAGCAGCCGCGGUAAUACGUAGGGUGCGAGCGUUAAUCGGAAUUACUGGGCGUAAAGCGUGCGCAGGCGGUUUGAUAAGACAGGCGUGAAAUCCCCGGGCUUAACCUGGGAACUGCGCUUGUGACUGUCUCACUAGAGUACGGCAGAGGGGGGUGGAAUUCCACGUGUAGCAGUGAAAUGCGUAGAGAUGUGGAGGAACACCGAUGGCGAAGGCAGCCCCCUGGGCCGAUACUGACGCUCAUGCACGAAAGCGUGGGUAGCAAACAGGAUUAGAUACCCUGGUAGUCCACGCCCUAAACGAUGUCAACUAGGUGUUGGGUGGGUAAAACCAUUUAGUACCGUAGCUAACGCGUGAAGUUGACCGCCUGGGGAGUACGGCCGCAAGGUUAAAACUCAAAGGAAUUGACGG